UGCGAUAAAAACUCCGCGGUUUAGGGUUAGGGCUGGCCAUUUUAAAUUGGGGAAUAUUCUCUAAACGUGGCGGCAUUUUAGGGUUUAUGGCGGGGGAGGAGGACGAUUCUCCUCCGGCGCUCAGCGUCCACGCGCUGGAGGCUUUGCGGGAUUUCAUGCGGGAGAGGGAUUGCGGCGGUGCUGGCGACGGCGGCGAGGGUAGCGUUGGCGAGGAUUGGGGCUUGAGCCAGUUCUGGUACGAUGAUUUUACCGCUCGGAUCGUGGCCGAGGAGGUCGUUAGGGUGAUUGGCGAUGCGCCAGAGCGCUCGGUAGCGUGCAUCGCAUGCCCGUCGCUCUAUACGAUGCUCAAGAAGAUCUAUCCAGGCAUUAGAGCGCAUCUCUUCGAAUACGAUCGUCGUUUCGCUCGUCAUGGCAGUGACUUCACUUACUAUGACUACAACCAUCCAGAGGAUUUGCCUGGACAUUUCGAGCACCGUUUCUACGUCGUCGCUGCUGAUCCUCCCUACCUUAGCGAGGAGUGCCUUGAGAAGACCACCCGGGCAGUGCAGUUCCUGUCCGAGGACCAUCAGAAAAGUCCAGUCCUCUUGUUGACAGGAUCUGUGCAGCAAGAACGGGCUUUCUCCCUCCUGGGAGUACAGCCGUGCGGCUUCAGGCCGGCUCACAAGCACAAGCUCGGGAACGAGUUUAAGCUCUACACGAACUACGACCCCGGGGAAAAUGUAGGAGGCUGGGAGCUUAAAGAGUGACAGUAUGGCACUUUGUUUUCGUGGCCCCUGUCCAAUCACUGGUGACGUUCUCGGGCCUGGGACAGCAAAGGAUAAGGUGCUCCGUGUGAGUCUUUUGAGCUGGUUUCGUUCUCUACAAUGAUCGGCUGCACUGCUUUGCAGCGUCAUCCCCUCGUUCUACGUCAGCAAGGUCCAAGCCCCGAAUCGUUUGACAAAGUGCUGGGGUAGUCCUCUCUACUAGUGCUCUGGCAGCUGAGCAACGCCACGAAAGAAGUUCCAGGUGCCUGAAGAGACGUGACUUUCUCGUCGCUUCCAAGAGUCAAGAUUUUACUCUGUGGACGGAGGAGUCUGCUCCAAGCUCGUGAAGGAGGACUUUUAAGAGCGUCUGUCAUGCCAUGAUCUCCAGAUGCCGCUGCUGCCGCUCCUUGAUCGCUAGCAUGUUAGAGAGCAGGACGUACGUCCCGGCCUUCUUCUGGUUGAGCUCAAGCACCUCACUGGCGGCUUUCUCUCCGCGGGACAAAUCCCCGUGAGUCGAGCAGCCACCCAGGAGCGUCUUCCAGGUGAUAUGAUCCGGAAGAACUGGCAUGCUCUGGAUGAGAUCCUCGGCCUCUCGCAGCUGCCCGGACCGAGCUAAAACAUCCACCAUGCACUUGUAGUGCUCCAGCGCCGGCUCCAUCCCUCGAUCAUAACUCAUGGACCAGAAGUUCUCGAGGC